GGAUUUCCUAAAUCUCUCAGGUCCUGAGUUGGAGAUUAGGAGAUGCAAAAGACUUUGAAAAGUGGACUGCAGCAGAGCUCAGUUUUGUUAAAUACAUCACAGAAUGGACUGAAAGCUGCACUACACCUUGAAGCAUUUACAAACCAGUACCAAUAGUGAUAUAAACCAAGCCUACCUUAACUCUUCUUAAGAGAGAGGAUUAAGAGUGGUUGAACUUGCCUACAGAGAGGUGCAUUGGAAUAGAGAAAACCCUGGCUCAGGUAGACAGGGAUUUGUAGACAGGUUCUCACUGUUGACAUGGCAUGACAUUCUGAAUAUAAUUCAACACAUUCAGAAAUAAAUAAAUGCACGUUUGGUACUGCAGUGUGUGUUUAAGUCUGUGUAACACGUAAACAACCAUGUCUGGG
rnacentral:lncRNA from 12 species